GCUAGAACUACUGUUAUCACAUACAGUAUGUGGCCGAUAAACCAAACUAGUACUGCCAGUACUGGUGAGCAUUGUUUCUAUCGCAUGCACAUGUCCUCCUGGAGCCUGAUUGCCCCCUGCCACACACCUACACACGCACAUGCCACUUAUUGCUUCCCAGCCUGGUGAAGGGAUAAGGAGACGACCGGCCGAUUCCCCAGGCAAUCCCUAAUCUCUCAAUCUAAUCCUCACGACGCAUCACCGGCGGCGAGAAGAACUCUCGCCAUGCUCAUCCUCGGAGGGAGAGUCGCGGGGGCUGUGGGUGCCGUUCGCAAGUCCAAGAAGGCGAAGCGCAGCAGGGCUCCAUGUGCCGGAGCGGCCGGAGUGGCCGCUCGACGGUGGGCUUGCCAGCGGGACGCCGAGAGCCUAUGAGCCGACGGCGAGCGCUCGUGCGAGGCGAGGGCGGAGGAGUGGCCGGCGUCGGGGUCGGCAGGCGCGGCGCGACGGCGUCAACAUCGACAACCGCGUGUGGUUGGAGGAGCCGUUCGCGCCAGAGCCGAAGUUGAAGACGGUGGCUCCGGUCGAUGCGGACAUGAAGGCGAGCGCGUCGCCCUCGCGAACCUGCACGCGAGGUGCAUCCAGGGCGCUUGUCUCCAUUGGAGGCAGCAGAGUCCGGCGCGGUGUCGGCGGCCGUAGGCGCACGACACGGACACGGGCCCCAACCGUGGUACUAGCAGCAUCCCGGCGGCCGCGAGGCCUCGAGUUCCUGGUCGACGUCCUCAAGCAUUGGCGCCGUAGGACCAUUCAGGAGCCAGGCAGGAACCGCCGGUUUCAUAGGCUGCACGGCCGGCCCAAGUGCCUGCACCGGCAGCGGCGCGACAGACUGCUGCGCGGCCGUCGCAGUGUUCUGGUGGUGACGACGAGAGGUGCGAUACCCUCCUUCACCGUGGCGGCGGUAGCCUCCAUCACCGUAGCGACGUCCGUUGAAACGACGACGGGCGUUUGCACGGUUGAGGCGGCGCCGGUUCCAACCUCCACGCCGGAAACUUGACGCCGGAAGCGGCGGUGGCGCGCGGUGGAACGGCGGCGGCAGCCUUAGUCGCGAAGGAGUAGCAGGAAGAGAGAAAGAAGCACAGGCAUUGUAUUUCUCACCUUUUGGUGUUCUUCCUCGUCUACUUCUUCUCGCUCAGAUGUGAGCGUGCUGAUAAUCGUGUUGUAAUCAAAUGAAGCAAAAUGAAUGUCUUUAUUGAUGAGAGUGCUACUAUUUAUACAAAGCCAAGGGACGCCUUCUCAAUAGGCGCCCAUACAG
rnacentral:rRNA from 1 species